rnacentral:misc_RNA from 1 species
CUUUCAGUACUUUGGGGGCUGUCAGUCUAUAUCACUAUAGCAAGCCUCCGUCUGAAACCCUUGUCUUUUGCGUACCUUAUGUUUCCUCGGCGGGCUUGCCCGCCGGCUGGACAACCAUUAAAACCUUUUUAAUUUUCAAUCAGCGUCUGAAAAAACAUAAUAAUUA